UACGUAGGCGGAUUUACAAGUCAGAAGUGAAAGCCCAGGGCUUAACCUUGGAAUUGCUUUUGAAACUGUAAGUCUGGAAUCCGGUAGAGGCUGGCGGAACUCCGAGUGUAGAGGUGAAAUUCGCAGAUAUUCGGAAGAACACCAGUGGCGAAGGCGGCCAACUGGACCGGUAUUGACGCUGAGGUACGAAAGCGUGGGUAGCAAACAGGAUUAGAUACCCUGGUAGUCC
rnacentral:rRNA from 1 species